UGAGUAACCUGCCCUUAACUCUGGGAUAAGCCUGGGAAACUGGGUCUAAUACCGGAUAUGACUCCUCAUCGCAUGGGUGGGGGGUGGAAAGCUUUAUUGUUGGUUUUGGAUGGACUCGCGGCCUAUCAGCUUGUUGGUGAGGUAAUGGCUCACCAAGGCGACGACGGGUAGCUGGUCUGAGAGGAUGGCCAGCCACAUUGGAACUGAGACACGGUCCAGACUCCGUACGGGAGCAG
rnacentral:rRNA from 1 species